rnacentral:lncRNA from 1 species
AGAAACCAAGCAAAUGAAUUUCACAAAUGAACAUGUGAAUCAACCAUAAAUUUGCACGUGUGGAAAUAAAAUUCAGAUGAAAUUUAAAUUGAAUUGGGAAACACACACUAGCUCAGGUCAUGCUCAGAUGAACCUCUAUGGGCCACCGUACCGGAAAUUGCCUUUGGAGGCGGUGGCUACCGGAAAUGAAAAUUAGACACCAUUCCAUUCGUCUUGACCUCCCCUCUUCGAAUCUCUACUCAAUUUCUCAAAAUUCUACGCCAAGGUUCAAAACUGAGUCACAAAUCCUUAAGAACCCUAAAUGUAAUCCCUAAAUUAAAUGCUAAUCUUGAAGAUUCAAAGCCCCUGGGAUUGGGGCUUUGAAUCCCCUCUCACUGCUCUACAUUCUAGUAACAAGAAAACAGCGAAAAGAGGAAUUUUUCAGACGUACCUUGCCGAAGAUGAUGAAAUUGGGGAUGGCAAAAGUUCCAGGUAAUGAAUCUGAAACUCUUUCUUGCUCUUGAUUUUUAUCCUCUUCUUCUUGAUUCUUCUUCUGAAAAGCGAAUUAAGUUGAAUUGAAAUUCGAGGGUGAGAUUGAGUGAUUGUUGGGAAGAGGGAAAAGUUGAAUGGAGAGUGAUAAAGAUGUUGAUUAUGAUGAUAAAGGUGUUGAUUAUGAUGAUAAAGGUUGAAUAUGUUGAGGCUUGAGAGUGAUGGACGAAUUAUAUUCAACUUUAAUGAUCGAGAGUGUUUUUGAUGUGAGAGUUCUUUGGUGUUUAUGAUGAAUGAUUGAGGGUUGUAAGAGUCAAUCUGAGAGUGAAUGAUUGGAGGUCCUGAAAAUGAAUGAUUGAGAGGGUUUUAUAGGUAGUUAUGGGAAUUGGGAUUAACAAAGUUGGUAAUGGAAGUUGGGAAAUGGCGGAAUCGAGGCAAAGGGUUGUAAUUGACUUUUUGUUCUGAUUUGUUGAUCCCCAUGUCACUCCAGUUGGCAUGGUAGUUAGUGAAACUUAUGAUUGUGAUUAGUUAGUUCAGUUUCUAUUAGGUUAGUUUGCAGGGAUUAUGUUUGGAAUGACAGUUAGUUGUGAUGCUUUGUGAUGUGAAUGACUUGGAUGUGGUUUACAUUGGUUCCCAACUUGAUCUGUUGUUGCAUAUUGCUACCAUGCUCCUAUAUGAUUUUCUACAGGUUCCUGAUGUGAAUUGCAGACUCAUAUGCUCUAUAUUCUAGGAAUUUAUUGGCUUGCUCAUGAAUAAUCCAUUGUAGGGGUGUUGCUGACUGAUGUAAGUCCAUUUUCAUUGCAUUUCUUAACAUAGUUCUGCAGGGUUUAUUGCAAGCAGGAUGCAAUGUUUGUGAGGUUUCAUGGCACUGAAUGCAGGGUUGCUAUGUUUGUAAUGGUCUAGCAUGCUUUUUUUCUGAAUUGGCUCAGUGUUGAUGUUAGCAUGACUUGGUGAAUGUAUGUGUGUUUUUUUGUUGUUGCAAGUUUACAUGGUUCUUAUAGGUGUUGGUUUACAUUGCAAGUUUUACUGCAAGUGUUCAUGUACUGCAUAACAAGUGUGUCCUUGGAUUGAUGUUGGACAUUACUUUGGCUUGGCAUAUGGCUUGAACUUGGUCUACAUCAGGGUUUAUAUUGUGGUUUUGCAAGUGUUUAUGGCUUGCUGCUUGGUGUUUUGCAAAGCUUCAUUUGGUUAGAUCUAGUUGCAACAAGUCUGGCUUUGGCUCAUGUUUCAUUACAUUGUUAACUGGUGGUAUGGAUUUGGUUAGGCUACAUUGCAGCAAGGUUUUGUAGGUGUGCAUUGUGACAUGGUAAGCCUUGAUAUAGGUCAUGAACACAUGGUGUGGAUUGUUGAACAACGGCUUGCAAUAUGAUGUCAUCAAGUUUGCACUUUGAAGUAUCAAUGACAAAUGGCAACAAUUAAGUAGGAAAUUUGAAGAUUAGAAAUGGGAUUUAGGAUUUGGGGAUGUAAAAUAGUUGAGUUGACUUUGGUCAAAGUUGACCAAAAAUUCAACGAUUGACCAAAGUCAACAUUUGGUCAAUGUGUCAUUUUUGUAGAUUUUUUCAUUUAUCGACACUUGUAAUGAAUAUGUAAUGAAUGGAAUUUGAUAUUACAUGAAAUUGACUUUGAAUAAAUCUUGUAUGAACUUGGUAUUUGAAAUGAAUGAAUUUGAUGUUGAAUGAAUUGUAUUUGAAUUGACA